AUCAGUGAUCCUUUACCAUCCUGAAUACACUCAAACUCAUUUGUUUUCUGAAGCAAAGCUGGGUCAGGCCUGACCAAUACUUGGUUGGGAGACCACCAGGGGAAAAUCAUGGAUUUCUAGGU
rnacentral:rRNA from 1 species